AUUUUAAGUUUUAGAUUACAAGUUCCUCUCAAAAUUUUCAUAUUCAAAUUUGUUAAACAUCUUUUUUUUAAUUUCUGUUUUUCAGAGAAUAGUGGAAAUACGAUCCUCAGCUGUACGAUUUUGCAGCCAUGCUAUGCACCUGGAAAAACUGCCCUUCACACUAGAGUAUCUGUAACGUGCACCUUGAAAGAUACCGCAAGAGUAAAAGGGAUGGGAUCCUUCCUCUUCCUUCACUGUCCUCUUAAUCACAAGGGAUCAGUGUGUCCCAUGGGAUCAAAGGAAGGUGAAACUUUUGUGAUCACGAGGUGAGAACAGGUUUGUGCU
rnacentral:lncRNA from 1 species